rnacentral:rRNA from 1 species
CCUACGGGAGGCAGCAGUGAGGAAUAUUGGUCAAUGGACGAGAGUCUGAACCAGCCAAGUAGCGUGAAGGAUGACUGCCCUAUGGGUUGUACACUUCUUUUAUAUGGGAAUAAAACGUUCCACGUGUGGGAUUUUGUAUGUACAAUAUGAAUAAUGAUCGGCUAACUCCGUGCCAGCAGCCGCGGUAAUACGGAGGAUCCGAGCUUUAUCCGGAUUUAUUGGGUUUCAAGGGAGCGUAGGUGGAUUGUUAAGGCAGUUGUGAAAGUUUGCUACUCAACCGGAAAAUUGCAGUUGAAACUGGCAGGCUUGAGUACAGUAGAGGUGGGCAGAAUUCGUGGUGUAGCGGUGAAAUGCUUAGAGAUCACGAAGAACUCCGAUGGCGAAGGCAGCUCACUGGACUGCAACUGACACUGAGGCGCGAAAGUGUGGGUAUCAAACAGGAUUAGAUACCCGUGUAGUC